ACACCCUGCCCAAAUCGUAUAAAUGCGUUCGAGAAGGCAGUCAGGUGUUUUGCAAAGAACCCGGCUGAAAAUGUGAUCACACCGGUUCUUGGUACUACUUUCGACUCUUUUUGGGAAUAGUAUGAAGUUUACAACUUGAACUCAUGGGAGAAGGGUUUUGGUAGGAAGAUGACAGGAAGCUCAGGGAGCAAGAGAAGGAUGUUGAGGUUGCAAGGAAGUGUCAGGAGGACGCAGAGAGGAACGCGAUGA
rnacentral:rRNA from 1 species